rnacentral:rRNA from 1 species
CGUACACUCCUGCGGGAGGCAGCAGUGGGGAAUAUUGGACAAUGGGCGCAAGCCUGAUCCAGCCAUGCCGCGUGAGUGAUGAAGGCCCUAGGGUUGUAAAGCUCUUUCACCGGUGAAGAUAAUGACGGUAACCGGAGAAGAAGCCCCGGCUAACUUCGUGCCAGCAGCCGCGGUAAUACGAAGGGGGCUAGCGUUGUUCGGAUUUACUGGGCGUAAAGCGCACGUAGGCGGACUAUUAAGUCAGGGGUGAAAUCCCGGGGCUCAACCCCGGAACUGCCUUUGAUACUGGUAGUCUUGAGUUCGAGAGAGGUGAGUGGAAUUCCGAGUGUAGAGGUGAAAUUCGUAGAUAUUCGGAGGAACACCAGUGGCGAAGGCGGCUCACUGGCUCGAUACUGACGCUGAGGUGCGAAAGCGUGGGGAGCAAACAGGAUUAGAUACCCCAGUAGUCCCAUG